GUAGUUACCCAGCAGGGCAAUANGAUGAUCAAGAGGGUGGUUUUCCCAGGGUGAGGCUCACACAGUGUACUCAGGGUGUGCUGACUCCUUUGAUUUCCCCAAAUGCAGGUAAGAUGACGACUGUAUCAUUUGUGGUAGUGGUGAACUGUGUUUGUGUUCAUGCACACA
rnacentral:snRNA from 1 species